AUUAACGCUAGCGGCAGGCAUAAUACAUGCAAGUUGAACGGCAGCAUAGGUAGCAAUACUGGGUGGCGAGUGGCGCACGGGUGCGUAACACGUAUGCAACCUACCCUAUACAGGCGAAUAACCUUUAGAAAUGAGGGCUAAUACGCCGUAGUAUUACAGAUGGGCAUCUAUUUGUAAUUAAAGAUUUAUCGGUAUAGGAUGGGCAUGCGUCCCAUUAGUUAGUUGGUAAGGUAACGGCUUACCAAGACGAUGAUGGGUAGGGG
rnacentral:rRNA from 1 species